rnacentral:rRNA from 1 species
UCGGGAAUAUUGGACAAUGGGCGCAAGCCUGAUCCAGCCAUGCCGCGUGAGUGACGAAGGCCUUAGGGUUGUAAAGCUCUUUUGGCGGGGAAGAUAAUGACGGUACCCGCAGAAUAAGCUCCGGCUAACUUCGUGCCAGCAGCCGCGGUAAUACGAAGGGAGCUAGCGUUGUUCGGAAUCACUGGGCGUAAAGCGCACGUAGGUGGGCAGUUAAGUCAGGGGUGAAAGCCCGAGGCUCAACCUCGGAAUUGCCUCUGAUACUGGCUGUCUAGAGUUCGAGAGAGGUGAGUGGAAUUCCUAGUGUAGAGGUGAAAUUCGUAGAUAUUAGGAAGAACACCGGUGGCGAAGGCGGCUCACUGGCUCGAUACUGACACUGAGGUGCGAAAGCGUGGGGAGCAAACAGGAUUAGAUACCCAAGUAGUCCCUGAGCGGGCUGGCAAGGCGCAU